AUGGGCGGAAGCAGGCGGUCUCCCACUUGCGGGUCUUUGGCUGCCUUGCGUUCGCCAAGGAGCUCGGCCACAUCGGCAAGCUCGACGACAGGAGCACUCCGGGAGUCUUCAUCGGCUACGCGGAGGGCUCAAAGGCCUACCGCAUCCUCGACCCAAAGACACAGCAUGUGCGCAUGGCGCGAGACGUCGUGUUCAACGAAGGGCGAGGGUGGCAAUGGGACAAGGCGGUGGACGACGGCUCGACGCCGACGUAUGACGAGCUCCUCUUCGCCGGGCACGCCUACCCCGCCCCCCAAAACCACAUCGACUCCGGUGCCUGCUACGCCGACGGCACCACAACCGGCGAGGCCGCACACUCCAGCCCCGGCAGUCACCACCCCGGGCUCAUCUUCAUCAGCACCAGCUCACGCAGAGCACAACCCGACGAAGUUCGCUUCUCCGCUCACUCACGACGAGGAGCGGAUCGACGCGUAUGAUGGCGGCGAACCGCUGCGGUAUCGUACGAUGGAAGAUCUACUCGGCGACCAGCCGGUGCCGGGACUGGUGCCACGUGACCUGGAGGCGCAGCUACAACUCGCGUGUGAAGACGGCGAACCACAGUCUUUUGCAGAGGCCGAGAGAGACGCGGCAUGGCGCGCCGCGAUGCAGUUGGAGAUGGAUGCGGUCGAGCAAAACCACACCUGGGAGCUUGUUGACCUCCCUCGUGGUCACCGCGCAAUCACCCUUAAGUGGGUGUUCAAGCUGAAGAGGGAUGGAGUCGGCGCCAUCAUCAAGCACAAGGCUCGCUUGGUGGCCCGAGGCUUCUUGCAGCAGGAAGGAGUCGACUUCGACGACGCCUUCGCUCCCGUGGCACGGAUGGAGUCCGUGCGACUUCUCCUCGCGCUGGCUGCCCAGGAGGGCUGGCAUGUCCAUCAUAUGGAUGUCAAGUCGGCAUUCCUCAACGGCGACUUGAAGGAGGAAGUCUACGUGCAUCAGCCACCGGGAUUUGCGAUCCCUGGCCAGGAGGGCAAGGUACUCCGCCUGCGCAAGGCUCUCUAUGGCCUACGGCAGGCACCUAGGGCGUGGAACGCCAAGCUGGACUCCACGCUAAAGAAGAUGGGAUUCGAGCAAAGCCCGCAUGAGGCGGCCGUCUACCGACGGGGCAGUGGAGGAAACGCCCUGCUGGUGGGCGUCUAUGUUGACGACUUGGUGAUUACCGGCACCAAAGAUGCAGAGGUGGCAACGUUCAAGGAAGACAUGAAGGCCACCUUCCAGAUGAGUGAUCUGGGGCUCCUCUCCUUCUAUCUUGGGAUUGAGGUGCACCAGGAUCACUCCGGGAUCGCGCUUCGACAGUCCGCCUACGCCAAGCGCAUCGUUGAGCUAGCUGGGCUCACCGACUGUCACCCAGCUCUCACUCCGAUGGAGGAGAGGCUGAAACUGAGCCGUGACAGCAAGGCGGAGGAAGUGGAUGCUACGCAGUACCGACGCCUUGUGGGGAGCCUUCGCUACCUCGCCCACACACGGCCGGACUUGGCAUUCUCCGUCGGCUAUGUCAGUCGGUUCAUGGAGCGACUGACGACGGAGCACCAGCAGGCAGUGAAGAGGAUCGUCCGCUACGUAGCAGGGACCCUCGACCACGGCCUCCACUACCCUAGGUGUCCGGGGGCGGCACACUUCGUCGGAUACAGCGACAGCGACCACGCCGGCGACAUCGACACCAGCAAGAGCACGAGCGGGAUCCUCUUCUUCCUCGGCAAGUGUCUCGUGAGCUGGCAAUCAGUCAAGCAGCAGGUGGUGGCCCUGUCCAGCUGUGAGGCUGAGUACAUAGCGGCCUCCACCGCCUGCACUCAGGCGCUCUGGCUCGCUCGACUGCUUGGUGAUCUCCUCGUCCGAGACACCAGAACGGUGCAGUUCCUGGUGGACAGCAAGUCCGCCCUGGCCCUGGCAAAGAACCCCGUUUUCCACGAACGGAGCAAGCACAUCCGACUGAGGUACCAUUUCAUCCGCAGCUGUGUGGAAGAAGGGAGCAUCGAGGCGAGCUACAUCAACACCACGGACCAGCUCGCAGACCUGCUCACCAAGCCUCUUGGGAGGAUCAAGUUCCUCGAACUCUGCUCCAGGAUCGGGAUGAUUCAACCCUCCCACAAAACGACGUACAAGACUUAG
rnacentral:rRNA from 1 species